UGCCCAGCAAUUCCAAUCCCUACUUCCUCGCGGUACGGGCCGGGGUACGAGUAACCUUAGGGAAGAUCGGGUAACCAACCCCCGGUGGGAACUUUGGUCGUAUGCUGGCUGGGAAGG
rnacentral:ribozyme from 1 species